UCCUUAGAUGUCCUGGGCCGCACGCGUGCUACACUGACGCCUACAGCGAGUACUUCCCAGCCCCGAGAGGUGGCUGGUAAUCAGCAAUAGGCGUCGUGAUGGGGAUAGAUCUUUGGAAUUAUGGAUCUUGAACGAGGAAUGCCUAGUAAGCGCAGGUCAUUAGCCUGCGUUGAUUAAGUCCCUGCCCUUUGUACACACCGCCCGUCGCUCCUACCGAUUUCGAGUGGUCCGGUGAAUCUUUCGGACUGCGCGCGGCUUCGUGCCGUGUCGCGGAAAGUCAGGUAAACCUUAUCACUUAGAGGAAGGAGAAGUCGUAACA
rnacentral:rRNA from 1 species